UGGGCGUGGCCCCUCAGAUCCCGUACGGGGCCCCCAGCCUACAGGGGCCAUCCAUCCCACACUCAGGAUCACCUCGCCGGCGAAGCGCCAUGGCUGUUCACUGCCCACAGAGGCCACCGCUCCUGGCAGCAUGGCCACGGCCGACACGGCGAGAUGAUUAGUGGGGAUUAGCACACGAUCGUCUUUGAACAUGUGACCGGCCAGUUAAAAAGGUCAGCCCGGAUUUAUUUUACCAUCUGCCAUUCAAAUCACCCAGGAGGGUUUGUAUUUUACAGCCCUCUACAUGCUGAACUGCCAACGUCAAUGCCCACCCGGCAUCGUCCCCGGGGCUCAGGUGUGCCCCCCCCCGCUGACACGUGACUGCUACAUCGGCAUUGAGGCUCGGGGUUCGGCGCCGGGUCUGGCUUUGGUACCAACAGAUACACAGCCAGAGGUCAUUCUGGAGGAUCCAAUCUAACAUCUACUAUUCCAGAAACAGCUUCAGUGAAGCAAGUCCCACGCAAGAAGAUGGACAUUAUUUUAUUUAUUUAUUUUAUUUAAAUUUGUGUGUACUUCUAAGUUCAAACAUGUUUGGUUGGCAAAAUAUAUGUUAUAAAUUCAAA